UGGGGAAUUUUGGACAAUGGGCGCAAGCCUGAUCCAGCCAUGCCGCGUGCGGGAAGAAGGCCUUCGGGUUGUAAACCGCUUUUGUCAGGGAAGAAAUCUUCUGAGUUAAUACCUCGGGAGGAUGACGGUACCUGAAGAAUAAGCACCGGCUAACUACGUGCCAGCAGCCGCGGUAAUACGUAGGGUGCAAGCGUUAAUCGGAAUUACUGGGCGUAAAGCGUGCGCAGGCGGUUUUGUAAGACAGAGGUGAAAUCCCCGGGCUCAACCUGGGAACUGCCUUUGUGACUGCAAGGCUUGAGUGCGGCAGAGGGGGAUGGAAUUCCGCGUGUAGCAGUGAAAUGCGUAGAUAUGCGGAGGAACACCGAUGGCGAAGGCAAUCCCCUGGGCCUGCACUGACGCUCAUGCACGAAAGCGUGGGGAGCAAAACAGGAUUAGAUACCCUGGUAGUCCACGCCCUAAACGAUGUCAACUGGUUGUUGGGAAGGUUCCUCCUCAGUAACGUAGCUAACGCGUGAAAGUUGACCGCCUGGGGAGUACGGCCGCAAGGUUGAAACUCAAAUGAAUUGACGGGGUCAUAGCUGUUUCCUG
rnacentral:rRNA from 1 species